UCCUCUGAAUCACUGCUCUUCCUGGUCUUCUUGACCUGCUUAUUACAUGUGUGAUGUGUGCGUGCUUGCUGUUGCUGUGCUGCGUGUGUGCUUGCUUGUUGCCGGUGCUUUGUCUGGGUGUUGGGCUGCUGAUGGCCUGAUGUUGGCUUUGCUGUAAUAUUUGUAUAAUGCUUGUAUCUUCUAUGAAGCUACAAAGCUAUGCUUUGUUGUAUACUGACUUUGUUGCUUGUUGCGGUUGACCUGCUGAUGUUGCUACUGUGCUGGCCAAGGAGUGAGUCAAGUGACAUACAGACACAAGAAAUAUUCGGUUAUGAGGAUUGAAGAAAUUAAUGAUCAUUCAAUCAUUGAGGAUUUGAGAAGAGGUAUCAAUGCUCCAGUAGAGGUGUUAUUGAAGUUGUGGCUGUCAAUAGUCCUUUUAUUGAUGCUAAGUACAUGGUGCAAUGACAAAAAACAUCCAGUGGGAUGUUCUACUGCAUCGGAAUUUGACAAAUUUAAUUCUGCCAUUAUAUUCUUUCCUUUACUGCUCAAGUUAACACCCCUCCUCCCAUUUGUUGGCCCAUAUGUUCAAGUAUGAAUCCUAUCAUGGCCCCUUUAAAGGAUCCAUUAAGAUCGUGGACGAUUCAGUAUUGGAGAUUAAUGCGCAAGAUCACAACCACGGGCGAAAGGUAAAUAUGCCAGGGUUAGCUAAUUGUUUGCCAUAUUAGUGCGGUUGAUAUAUAUGUCAUGGUUUCUAAAUAUGCAUGGCAUGUUGGCCCAUAUUAGUGCUGUUGAGAGGGAGGAGGAGGGAGGAGUGCGUGGCUGUGGAUCAGGUCUAGGGUUGGUGCAGUUCUGUCCAAUGGGCUCCUCCCUUCAGCUUCAGGCAAGCCACGGGACGCGCGUCGCGUGAUGAAAGGUUCACCCAACCUAAGAUGACCCGCUGCAGACCCAGCCAAUGCAAGCGUGAGAUGAGCCCACUUGUCAUUGGGCAGUAAAAUGACUGUGAUGUCAAAAUUGAAUUUGACUGCUGUGAAAAUCCAAUGGCUCAGGCGCGCUAGAAGGCAGAUCGGACGGCCAACGUAUGUGUAUGACAUUAACUGAUUCAUUAUGAUUUUCAGGGGUAUAUGAACCACAAAUGAUGAUAUGCUUGGUUAUUGGAACAUGAAAGGAGUGCGACUCAACAGGAAGGUGUACCGUGGGGAGCCGCAACAUGGCAUGGCCUCACUAGCCAAUUAGUGCAUGCUUGGAAGCUUAAAUCUAUCAUUAAACUGUGAAAUAGUGUUGUAAGAGACACUUCUAUAAGCAAAGGUAUGUGCCUGCAUUUAGACCUUAAUUAUCCCUUGCUUAGUAUUGUUUGGUUCGUGUUAUUCAUGCUACAAUGAUUUUCUUCACUCUGUUAAUCUUAUAGUAACUAGACGACGCAGUACAUGGCAGCAGUAUACUUUUGGUGUAGGAAUUAACAAUGACAUGCUUCAUGUUCUGUGUGCCUUGACUCUGGCUCUAUGCUUAUUAAUCAACUUAGCGAGCUUUAGGACUUCGAAAGUUGUCAUUUUGAGGAGCAUGAUUUCCUAUGUUUUUGGUCAAGAUGGCACACAUGAAAAGUUUGUCAAGAAUGUACCAAAUCAUAUACGUAUGUCUCUUUCCACUUCUGCAUUUAUGGCUGCAAAUUGUAUUCUCAGAUUCUAGACUGGGUGUAUAUAAACAUAUAUUCUGCACACUGAAUUCUUCUCUUUAAUACAUCACAGAUAAAACAAAUAUUUCACUAGCAGUCCAGCAGGGGAGGACGUUGAUGAAUCCUGCAUGAAUUGUUUAUUUUUAUGCUUUAGUUGUUGAUGUUCAUAAAGUGAUGACAGGUGGCUUCAUUUAUGUUUGUUUAUACAAAACAAACACCACCAAGAUCCGAAUUAAUCCGUGCAUUCAAGCUAUGAGUCAAAAAUACAUCACGUAUUGGUUGAGUGUAAUUGGAACAAUGAAGCAGAUUGCAUGCUUGCUUGAGUUCACCUGCUUUUUGGUGGACUAUAUAUCCAAGUAUUUCUUACAAAGUAUUUAAAAAUAAAGGGGCAAAAGAUGUUAUAAUUCAGAACCAAACUUAGAAUGACCCAAGGCUGUUAUCAUCAGAAUUUGACAGUGUUGUGCCAAAAAAUAACUCUGAGUAAACAAAGAACAUUCUGGUUCCUUUCCGGCUUGCUAUUCAUGACUGAUCUUUUAAAUUAAUUGUUGUUCUUUUACAAAAUUGAGAGCUCUUUUUUGUAAGUGUACUUUAUAUGUUGGUGACUGGAUUUUUAAAUUAAUUGUCGUUCUUUUACGAAAUUGAGCAUAAAGAAAAAGUAAAAAUAAAAAAUGUUUAGCUAAAUAGGCAAAGCUGCUGAAGUUUACUUGCUGUAGACCUUUGAUGGGCCAUGCUUUUUGCUGCUUUCUGCAUUCCUGGACUAUAGGAACCUUGUGGAGGUGCUCCUCUAUUUUCCUGUUGCUUUCUCUGUCACUCGCAUUUAAAUUUGCCACUAUACUGGUUUUCAAACAUGACAUGUAUAGAUCCAAGGAUGAAGAGAAGAAGAAGAGUUGGGAUUGUGUAUUUGCAAUUGUGCAUGCUAUACGUGUCUGCAUUUAAUUUUUUUUCUUGGAACUAUUGGCAUGUAGAGGAGGCUGCGCUUUAUUUGCUGGUGUGUUAGGCACAUAAGAAACUGGUUUUGCCUUUUUCACAAACCAAGUUAGGGCUAGCUUCUGAUGUGUAUGGUCCCAGCUCCAUUUUUAUUGUCAAAAAAAAUUAAGUACAAUGUUAAAUGUGUUGGUUCACAUGCCAAUUCUUCAUGUUCUUUAGGCCUUGAUCUUACUAUCCUAUCUGAAUAUUCCUUUUAUUGGCAAUCACAGGUUUAUAUGAUUGGCAGGGAUGGAACAAUGAGAGGAGCAGUGGCGAUAUUCAAAGAUUUUAAACAGUGUGGUUUGAUGAUAUCCAUUACAGGGAUCUCAAAAAACUUGGACAACGACAUCAACAUCAUAGACAAGGCUUUUGGGUUUCAAACUGCAGUGGAGAAUGCUCAGUAGGCAAUCGAUGUGACACAUGUGGGGUUGUGAAUAUUGUGGAUGGCAUUGGUCUUGUCAAACUUAUGGGAAGGAGCACGGGCCGCAUUACUCUUCAUGCCACCCUGAGCAACCUGAGAUGUUGACUGAUGUUUGAAUCCUGAGAUCGAUUUCCAUGUUGAAGGGAAGGGGCAUGCUGUCGUAGUUGUUGCUCAAGGCGCUGGUCAGGAGUUGAUUCCCCAGAUUGAUGACCAGAAGCGAGAGCAGGAUGAGUCUAGCAACAUGUUGUUCCUUAGCGUUGGCCUUCCUUCUAUAAAGUUUACAUGCAAUUCACCUGCAUGGUUAAAAAAGCUACUAUACUAAUUUAAAUGUUCUGUUUCUUUGAAGAUUACUCAUUUCUCUUACCGUUGUUGUAUCGAAACAAUUGUAUUUUGGCCGCUUGCGCUCAUUUUAUAGGAGAUUGAGAUGUGGGACAAGCUACUACCAAAUAUUUGGUUCCCAUCAAAUCGUUUAUUUGCCAAUAAAGUAAAGGUUCCUUUUUGUAAACA